GGCUAGAUAACAUAAUUUGGUUAAUGUACAAGAUUGCAAAUCUUUAAAUAGUGGUUCAAGUCCACUUCUAGCUU
rnacentral:tRNA from 1 species